rnacentral:rRNA from 1 species
UGGGGAAUAUUGCACAAUGGAGGGAACUCUGAUGCAGCGACGCCGCGUGAGUGAUGAAGGAAUUCGUUUCGUAAAACUCUGUUCUAUGGGAAGAAAAGGACUGUACCAUAGGAGAAAGCUCCGGCUAAAUACGUGCCAGCAGCCGCGGUAAUACGUAUGGAGCGAGCGUUGUCCGGAAUUAUUGGGCGUAAAGGGUGCGCAGGCGGCUUUACAAGUUGGAUGUGAAAUAUUGUGGCUCAACCACAAACGUGCAUCCAAAACUGCAAAGCUUGAGUUAAGGAGAGGUAAGUGGAAUUCCUGGUGUAGCGGUGGAAUGCGUAGAUAUCAGGAGGAAUACCGAUGGCGAAGGCGACUUACUGGACUUAAACUGACGCUCAGGCACGAAAGCGUGGGGAGCAAACAGG